UACGUAGGGGGCUAGCGUUGUCCGGAAUCAUUGGGCGUAAAGCGCGCGUAGGCGGCCCGGUAAGUCCGCUGUAAAAGUCAAAGGCUCAACCUUUGAAUGUCAGUGGAUACUGCCGGGCUAGAGUCCGGAAGAGGCGAGUGGAACUCCUGGUGUAGCGGUGGAAUGCGCAGAUAUCAGGAAGAACACCGACGGCGAAGGCAGCUCGCUGGGACGGUGACUGACGCUGAGGCGCGAAGACGUGGGGAGCGAACAGG
rnacentral:rRNA from 1 species